rnacentral:rRNA from 1 species
UCAUAUGCUUGUCUCAAAGAUUAAGCCAUGCAUGUCUAAGUAUAAGCAACUAUACGGUGAAACUGCGAAUGGCUCAUUAAAUCAGUUAUCGUUUAUUUGAUAGUACCUUACUACAUGGAUAACCGUGGUAAUUCUAGAGCUAAUACAUGACCUAAAACCCCGCUUCGGAAGGGUGUAUUUAUAGAAUAAAAACCAUCGCCGUUCGGGGCUCCUUGGUGAAUCAUAAUAACUUAACGAAUCGCAUGGCCUUGCGCCGGCG